rnacentral:rRNA from 1 species
UACAGAGGGUGCAAGCGUUGUUCGGAAUUAUUGGGCGUAAAGCGCGUGUAGGCGGCUUUGCAAGUCGGGUGUGAAAGCCCUCAGCUCAACUGAGGAAGUGCGCCCGAAACUGCAGAGCUUGAGUGCCGGAGAGGGUGGCGGAAUUCCCCAAGUAGAGGUGAAAUCGUAGAUAUGGGGAGGAACACGGUGGCGAAGGCGGCC